rnacentral:misc_RNA from 1 species
AACAUUGCUGAGGAUGUCACUCAGGUUUGGUUUCUCGCACUAUUUUGUUGGAAUUGUGAACUGGGUCGGUUUCAAUGUGGAAAUUUGUGGAGAUUUUGUCAGUUUCUUAGAGUGUAAUGGAUAGCUGAACCAUUUUCCUGGAAGAAUUUAAUGGAUUUCUGAAGUGGGUUUGGUUUAAUUUCUUGAGAAUUUGAUGAUGUUGAACUUUCACAGCAUUGAAUUAUUGAUCAAUUCACUCUUAACUACGAAUUCAUCGGCUCUCAGUUCUGAUAUAGCUCAUAGAUACCAUGGAUAUUGUUAGAUGUUAUAUGACCAAACCAGCUGCAGUCUGCCAAGUUUCAAAACUUCAGUUAUAAGUUUAUAUGAGUUUCUUUCUCAAUAUUCAAUUAUAUUUCUUCUUAGGAAUAAUCAAAUUGAUUUUGUACUUCAGCCAUUGGGUGCAAUCCUGGCUAUACCAACUAAAGCCAUCUAAUUCCAUGUUAAAUUAACCUAGCAAUUUCCUUCUACAAUGAUCACACACAAAGUUGAUUUUACAUAUAAUUAAUAAGUUUCUAUGGCUGGCCGCAAUAAGGUCUCGUAGGCUAUAAUCAGUUAUUUCAAAUGUACAAUUAUAAUUGCAAAUUUGAUAAACUUACUGGACUAUUUUUGUGAUUAAUCCAUUUUCAUUUUAUGAUUUAUAUCUAUCUGAAAAACUUAUAUAUAUAAGAUUCAUAGCUGUUUAUGUGCUUGUUUCUACUGUUUUUAUUAUUAUACUAAGUUAUCAGUAGCUUACUUUGUUAACCAACUGAAAGCACUUGGGUUAUUGGUUAUUUAUUUGCUUAUUGAUUAAUACAGCUUAUUGGAAAAACACCUAU